UACGUAGGGGGCAAGCGUUGUCCGGAAUUAUUGGGCGUAAAGCGCGCGCAGGCGGUUUUUUAAGUCUGGUGUAUAAACCUUGGGCUCAACUUAAGGAGGCACUGGAAACUGGGGAACUGGAGUGUAGGAGAGGAAAGUGGAGUUCCAGGUGUAGCGGUGAAAUGCGUAGAUAUCAGGAGGAACACCGGUGGCGAAGGCGGGUCUCUGGGCCGAUACUGACGCUGAGGAGCGAAAGCGUGGGGAGCGAACAGG
rnacentral:rRNA from 1 species